AAGGAAACAAUUAUCAUCUUCAGUUUUGAGAGACUUAAGAAAGUUUUUCAUUGUAACUUGCUUACAAAUUGUAUUUGCAACAUUUUAAUCUUUUUAAGAUUAAGGGCCUAUAGCUCAGUUGGUUAGAGCACACGCCUGAUAAGCGUGAGGUCGGUGGUUCAAGUCCAUUUAGGCCCACCAUAACCACAAAUAGGCAAAAUCUUAAAAAAGCUCUUUGAAAAGUAGAUAAACGAAGGUUAAAAAAUCAAAGGAACUAAGGGCGCACAGUGG
rnacentral:misc_RNA from 1 species